CCGUUGGCGCGCAUGCGGGGGCGGGUCACGUGACAGUCGGGCUCGAUCCUGAGGGUCCCUGCCAACCGAAAUAAUUCUGUGGUAACACCCAAGUGACACAAAAGAGGCUGAAAGAAAGGCAAAAAGAAGCAGCUCGGAGACAGAGUACUGCUGUGGAGGUGACAACUGCAUCCAAGAAGCUGGAAAAAAACAGUCAAACAGCUGAAGAAAUAUAAAGAGGAGACAAAAAAGAAACGGGAGGAAACCAGCAUAGAAUCAGAACAGGAGAAAAGGCAAGAUCAUCUUCCCACUCGUGCCUCCCUGGAGAGCAGGACAAGGAGCCAGCACCUCCAGCUCAGCCCCAGGAAUCCCACGUGAGCUGGGCAGGAAAUGAGCUCAUGUGCUGGGGUGAGUCCCAGCCCAGGAGAGCAUCCCCUGCGAGGAAUCCAGAACUCACCUCGAGCUGACGUGCUCGGGUAGGGCUGUGUCACUGAGAAAGCCUUGCAAAGAAAAGGUGCUCACAGGGCACCCUUAUCUAGGGGACAUAGGAAUGCUUGUUUAAAUCAUAAACUCUGAUUUGAAUUAACUCA